rnacentral:tRNA from 1 species
GGCGGGGUAGCUCAGGUGGCAGAGCAGGGGACUCAUAAGCCUCGUGUCGCGGGUUCAAGUCCCGCCCCCGCCACCA